UUAACAUGCAGUCGAACGGCAGCACGGGUGCUUGCACCUGGUGGCGAGUGGCGAACGGGUGAGUAAUACAUCGGAACAUGUCCUGUAGUGGGGGAUAGCCCGGCGAAAGCCGGAUUAAUACCGCAUACGAUCUACGGAUGAAAGCGGGGGACCUUCGGGCCUCGCGCUAUAGGGUUGGCCGAUGGCUGAUUAGCUAGUUGGUGGGGUAAAGGCCUACCAAGGCGACGAUCAGUAGCUGGUCUGAGAGGACGACCAGCCACACUGGGACUGAGACACGGCCCAGACUCCUACGGGAGGCAGCAGUGGGGAAUUUUGGACAAUGGGCGAAAGCCUGAUCCAGCAAUGCCGCGUGUGUGAAGAAGGCCUUCGGGUUGUAAAGCACUUUUGUCCGGAAAGAAAUCCUUGGCUCUAAUACAGUCGGGGGAUGACGGUACCGGAAGAAUAAGCACCGGCUAACUACGUGCCAGCAGCCGCGGUAAUACGUAGGGUGCGAGCGUUAAUCGGAAUUACUGGGCGUAAAGCGUGCGCAGGCGGUUUGCUAAGACCGAUGUGAAAUCCCCGGGCUCAACCUGGGAACUGCAUUGGUGACUGGCAGGCUAGAGUAUGGCAGAGGGGGGUAGAAUUCCACGUGUAGCAGUGAAAUGCGUAGAGAUGUGGAGGAAUACCGAUGGCGAAGGCAGCCCCCUGGGCCAAUACUGACGCUC
rnacentral:rRNA from 1 species